GAACGCUGGGCGGCAGGCCUAACACAUGCAAGUCGAGGCGGUAGAGAGGUGCUUGCAUCUCUUGAGAGGCGGGCGGGACGGGUGAGUAAUGCCUAGGAAUCUGCCUAGUGGUGGGGGAUAACGUUCGGAAACGGACGCUAAUACCGCAUACGUCCUACGGGGAGAAAGCGGGGGAUCUUCGGACCUCGCGCCAUUAGAUGAGCCUAGGGUCGGAUUAGCUAGUUGGUGAGGUAAUGGCUCACCAAGGCGACGAUCCGUAACUGGUCUGAGAGGAUGAUCAGUCACACUGGAACUGAGACACGGUCCAGACUCCUACGGGAGGCAGCAGUGGGGAAUAUUGGACGAUGGGCGAAAGCCUGAUCCAGCCAUGCCGCGUGUGUGAAGAAGGUCUUCGGAUUGUAAAGCACUUUAAGUUGGGAGGAAGGGUAGUAACCUAAUACGUUGCUACUUUGACGUUACCGACAGAAUAAGCACCGGCUAACUUCGUG
rnacentral:rRNA from 1 species